rnacentral:rRNA from 1 species
AUUGAACGCUGGCGGCAUGCCUAACACAUGCAAGUCGAACGGAAUCCAUGGUGUAGCAAUACACCGGAAGAUUUAGUGGCGAACGGGUGAGGAUCACGUGAGAAACGUGCCCCAGACUCUGGGAUAACAAUUGGAAACGAUUGCUAAUACCGGAUGACGUCGGAGAAUCGCAUGAUUCACUGACGAAAGAUAUUUCGGUUUGGGAGCGUCUCGCGGCCUAUCAGCUUGUUGGUGGGGUAAUGGCCUACCAAGGCAACGACGGGUAGCUGGUCUGAGAGGAUGAUCAGCCACACUGGGACUGAGACACGGCCCAGACUCCUACGGGAGGCAGCAGUGGGGAAUCUUGCGCAAUGGGCGAAAGCCUGACGCAGCAACGCCGCGUGCGGGAUGAAGGCCUUGGGCUGUAAACGCUUUCAGCAGGAACGGAAAAUAGACGGUACCUCGCAGAAGAAGGAGCGGCC